CUCUGAAUAACAGGGCAGUGCUCCCUCGGCAGAGUACACAACCAGAUGCAGGGAAAGCAAUGAUCUGCAGCCCUGCUCUGGCUCUGCCGAAGGAGAGCUGCCCUGCCAUUCAACA
rnacentral:pre_miRNA from 1 species